rnacentral:ncRNA from 13 species
AUUCCAGAGGUGAUGUGGGUAACCGCAUCACUCCGGCAGCAAGCGAAGGUGUCAUUGGCACCCGCGGUAUGGUCCCCCGGCUAUGCCGCGAAUUUUUUUU